rnacentral:rRNA from 1 species
AUGAACGCUGGCGGCGUGCCUCAUACAUGCCAGUCGAGCGCACAGACGAGGAGCUUGCUCCUCUGACGUUAGCGGCGGACGGGUGAGUAACACGUGGAUAACCUACCUAUAAGACUGGGAUAACUUCGGGAAACCGGAGCUAAUACCGGAUAAUAUAUUGAACCGCAUGGUUCAAUAGUGAAAGACGGUUUUGCUGUCACUUAUAGAUGGAUCCGCGCCGCAUUAGCUAGUUGGUAAGGUAACGGCUUACCAAGGCAACGAUGCGUAGCCGACCUGAGAGGGUGAUCGGCCACACUGGAACUGAGACACGGUCCAGACUCCUACGGGAGGCAGCAGUAGGGAAUCUUCCGCAAUGGGCGAAAGCUUGACGGAGCAACGCCGCGUGAGUAAUGAAGGUCUUCGGAUCGUAAAACUCUGUUAUUAGGGAAGAACAAAUGUGUAAGUAACUAUGCACGUCUUGACGGUACCUAAUCAGAAAGCCACGGCUAACUACGUG